rnacentral:rRNA from 1 species
CCCUUAGAUGUUCUGGGCCGCACGCGCGCUACACUGACGGAUUCAACGAGCUUACAACCUUGGCCGAAAGGUCUGGGUAAUCUCCAAAAUCCGUCGUGAUGGGGAUAGAUUAUUGCAAUUAUUAAUCUUCAACGAGGAAUGCCUAGUAAGCGCAAGUCAUCAGCUUGCGUUGAUUACGUCCCUGCCCUUUGUACACACCGCCCGUCGCUACUACCGAUUGGAUGGUUUAGUGAGACCCUCGGAUCGGUCCCGACUCGGGGUGGGCUUCUGCCCCGGUCGUGGUUUCGCCGAGAAGACGGUCAAACUUGACUAUCUAGAGGAAGUAAAAGUCGUAACA